GUACACGCUGUGACUAGCAUAUCAAUAAGCGGAGGAAAAGAAACUAACAAGGAUUCCCUUAGUAACGGCGAGUGAAGCGGGAAGAGCUCAAAUUUGAAAUCUUGAAAGGUCACCUUUCACGAAUUGUAGUUUAAAGAAGUGUUUUCUGUUACGAUCGUAAUAUAAGUUCUUUGGAAUAGGACAUCACAGAGGGUGAGAAUCCCGUCUAUGAUUGCGAUUUGUAGCUUUGUGAUACACUUUCAAAGAGUCGGGUUGUUUGGGAAUGCAGCCCAAAACGGGAGGUAAAUUUCUUCUAAGGCUAAAUAUUGGCGAGAGACCGAUAGCGAACAAGUACCGUGAGGGAAAGAUGAGAAGGACUUUGAAAAGAGAGUUAAACUAGUACGUGAAAUUGUCAAAGGGGAAGCGUUUAACACCAGUGUUGUUUUCUCGAAAAUCAAUUAAAAAUGGCUCGAUUUUGUAUUGCUGAGACCUUAAAAGCUCACUGUACAUUUUUCGUGUCUUUUUUAAUGCACUUUUCGUUUAACAAGUCAACAUCAGUUUCUUUUGUUGUAAAAGGGUCAUUGGAAGGUGGCUUUCUUUUCGGAGAAAGUGUUUAUAGCCUUUGGCCUCUGCAAUCGGAAGAGACUGAGGUCUGCAGCGUAGACUCUUCGGGGUUAGAUACAUUUGUGCUAAGUUAUAGCUUUUUAUAGACAACUUGUUGACUAUAAUUAGUCUUGUAGCUUACUCGCUUAUGCUAUUUUACCUACGCUUAGGAUGUUGAGUAGCGACAUACGCAC
rnacentral:rRNA from 1 species